ensembl:snRNA U6 U6 spliceosomal RNA
GUGUUCACUUUGGCACCACAUAUACUAAAUUAGGAAUGAUACAGAUAUUACCAUGGCCCCUGUGCAAGGAUGACAUGCAAAUUCGUGAAGCAUUCCAUAUUUUU